AACGAACGCUGGCGGCAUGCCUAACACAUGCAAGUCGAACGAGACCUUCGGGUCUAGUGGCGCACGGGUGCGUAACGCGUGGGAACCUGCCCUUAGGUUCGGAAUAACUCCCCGAAAGGGGUGCUAAUACCGGAUAAUGUCUUCGGACCAAAGAUUUAUCGCCUUUGGAUGGGCCCGCGUUGGAUUAGCUAGUUGGUAGGGUAAAAGCCUACCAAGGCGACGAUCCAUAGCUGGUCUGAGAGGAUGAUCAGCCACACUGGGACUGAGACACGGCCCAGACUCCUACGGGAGGCAGCAGUGGGGAAUAUUGGACAAUGGGCGAAAGACUGAGCCAGCAAGGCCGCGUGAGUGAUGAAGGCCUUAGGGUUGUAAAGCUCUUUUAACCGGGAUGAUAAUGACAGUACCGGGAGAAUAAGCUCCGGCUAACUCCGUG
rnacentral:rRNA from 1 species